CUCCAGGACAAUAAGAUACAUGGUUACACUCCCUCAUGGGCUCCUGCUGAGCAAUGUCUGCAGACAGCUGCUUCCUCGGGAGUGUACGUAACCUGCUGUUUGUACAGGUGGCCCUAAGCAACCUUGGAGAGUUUU